rnacentral:rRNA from 1 species
CCCGGUGUAGCGGUGAAAUGCGUAGAUAUCGGGAAGAACACCAGUGGCGAAGGCGCUCUGCUGGGCCAUUACUGACGCUCAUGGACGAAAGCCAGGGGAGCGAAAGGGAUUAGAUACCCCUGUAGUCCUGGCCGUAAACGAUGAACACUAGGUGUCGGGGGAAUCGACCCCUUCGGUGUCGUAGCUAACGCGUUAAGUGUUCCGCCUGGGGAGUACGCACGCAAGUGUGAAACUCAAAGGAAUUGACGGGGGCCCGCACAAGCGGUGGAGUAUGUGGUUUAAUUCGAUGCAACGCGAAGAACCUUACCAGGGUUUGACAUCCUGCGAACCUCUUAGAAAUUUGAGGGUGCCUUCGGGAAUGCAGUGACAGGUGGUGCAUGGCUGUCGUCAGCUCGUGUCGUGAGAUGUUGGGUUAAGUCCCGCAACGAGCGCAACCCACGUUUUUAGUUGCCAGCAUUUAGUUGGGCACUCUAGAAAGACCGCCGGUGAUAAACCGGAGGAAGGUGUGGAUGACGUCAAGUCAUCAUGCCCCUUACACCCUGGGCUACACACGUACUACAAUGCUACGGACAAAGGGCAGCAAACUCGCGAGAGCUAGCAAAUCCCAUAAACCGUGGCUCAGUUCAGAUCGUAGGCUGCAACUCGCCUACGUGAAGUAGGAAUCGCUAGUAAUCGUAGGUCAGCAUACUGCGGUGAAUACGUUCCCGGGCCUUGUACACACCGCCCGUCACACCAUGGAUAGUUGGCCAUGCCCGAAGUCGUUACUCCAA